CAAACCCAUGUGUGGAAUGUGCUUCAUUGAAUAAUUGAUUAUCAAUCAAGUCCCAGCCACAUGGUAUAAAAAGAAGCCAAAUGCUGUGCUUAGGAGAGCUGGUCCAGUGAAGGCGAAUGAGCUUGCGCAAGGAGGAGUGUGGCUCUGUUUUAGUGAAGGCGAGUGCUCAGCCUAAAACAGUAAGACCCCCUGAGUGAAAAUCUGGAAGCAAUUUGUACUACCAAAUGUGUGGAGCUCCAAAGUUUUUGAUUCCUAGUGGAAGUAGCGCUUGUUGAGCCAGGAUGAUAUAGAGCGGCUGGUAAACCUGCAUGCUUCACCCUGAUGCUGUGGAGUGCAUGGAGCUGUCCAGCCUGGACUGAGGAAUACUGCUGCUGCCCUCUCCCCUCUCCCCCUCCC